UACAGGGGGUGCAAGCGUUAUUCGGAAUUAUUGGGCGUAAAGAGCGUGUAGGCGGCUUCUUAAGUCUGAUGUGAAAGCCCCGGUCUCAAGCCGGGAAGUGCAUCGGAUACUGAAUAGCUAGAGUACAGGAGAGGUUGGCGGAAUUCCUGGUGUAGAGGUGAAAUUCAUAGAUAUCAGGAGGAACAACAGAGGCGAAGGCGGCCAACUGGACUGUUACUGACGCUAAGGCGCGAAAGCGUGGGGAGCAAACAGG
rnacentral:rRNA from 1 species